rnacentral:sRNA from 1 species
CAGAGCAAGACCCUGUCUCUCCAAAAAAAAAAAAAAAAAAAAAAAUUUAAAUUAGCCAGGUGUGGUAGCAUGUGCCUGUGGUCCCAGUUACUCUGGAGGCUGAGGUGGGAGGAUCGCUUCAGCCCAGGAGUUUGAGGCUGCUGUGAGCCAUAAUAGUGCCAUCACACUCCAGGCCUGGGCAACAGAGAGAGACCCUAUCUCUAAAAGAAAAGAUAAAAAGAAAAGAAAGCAAAUAUGAUUGGGUGCUCACUAGGCAGUGGUGGGCUAUGCCUGCAGGCGGGGCUCCAAUGUGGCUCUGAUGCUGGACGUUCGGUCCCUGGGGGCCGUAGAACCCAUUUGCUCCGUGAACACACCCCGGGAGGUCACCCUACACUUUCUGCGCACUGCUGGACACCCCCUUACCCGCUGGGCCCUUCAGCGCCAGCCACCCAGCCCCAAGCAACUGGAAGAAGAAUUCUUGAAGAUCCCUUCAAACUUUAUCAGCCCCGAAGACCUGGACAUCCCUGGCCACGCCUCCAAGGACCGAUACAAGACCAUCUUGCCAAAUCCCCAGAGCCGUGUCUGUCUAGGCCGGGCACAGAGCCAGGAGGACGGAGAUUACAUCAAUGCCAACUACAUCCGAGGCUAUGAUGGGAAGGAGAAGGUCUACAUUGCCACCCAGGGCCCCAUGCCCAACACUGUGUCGGACUUCUGGGAGAUGGUGUGGCAAGAGGAAGUGUCCCUCAUUGUCAUGCUCACUCAACUCCGAGAGGGCGAGGAGAAAUGUGUCCACUACUGGCCCACAGAAGAGGAAACCUAUGGACCCUUCCAGAUCCGCAUCCAGGACAUGAAAGAGUGCACAGAAUACACUGUGCGGCAGCUUACCAUCCAGUACCAGGAAGAGUGCCGGUCAGUAAAGCACAUCCUCUUCUCGGCCUGGCCCGACCACCAGACACCAGAAUCAGCUGGGCCCCUGCUGCGCCUAGUGGCAGAGGUGGAGGAGAGCCCGGAGACAGCCGCCCGCCCCGGGCCCAUCGUAGUCCACUGCAGUGCAGGGAUUGGCCGGACGGGCUGCUUCAUCGCCACACGAAUUGGCUGUCAACAGCUGAAAGCCCGAGGGGAAGUGGACAUUCUGGGUAUUGUGUGCCAACUGCGGCUAGACAGGUGGGUCUGUGGGUGUAAACAAGGCCAACAACGUUAACGGGUGGCAUCAGUGCCUCUGGGCCCCAGAGCUCUGCUAGGCCCAUCACCAUCAAGCACUCCUGCAAGAAAGGAAGAAACCCUUCCUGCUUAGAGCUGUUUAUUUUGCAACUAACAACCAGGAAAAAAUAUCUAUCUGGAUGGCUGGGUGCGGUGGCUCACACCUGUAAUCCCAGCACUUUGGGAGGCUGAGGCGGGUGGAUCACCUGAGCCCAGGAGUUCGAGACCAGCCUGGCCAACAUGGUGUAAACCCUGUCUCUACUAAAAAUACAAAAAUUAGCCAGGCCUGGUGUGGGCCCCUGUAAUCGCAGCUACUCAGAAGGCUGAGGCAGGACAAUUGCUUGAACCCAAGAGGUGGAGGUUGCAGUGAGCCGACAUUGUGCCAUUGCACUCCAGCCUGGGUGACAGAGCGAGACUCUGACUC